AAAUAAAACCCAUCAACACAGACGAUUGAGAGACAGAGAGAAAUCGAGGUUCAGGGCCGGAGUAGCCACGGCUCCAUGUCGCCCACUCUCCACACUGUUCACUCUACGUCUCCGAACCAACGACUAAUUUUAUGAGCAACUGUUCCCAGGCCAUACUUUGGUGGAGGCUGUAGCUUCACUAAGACAUCCCCACUCCGCCACAUCUCCUCUCUAACCAAUGUCCCACAAGGUGGGUGGGGGGAGAGGCCACUUCCGUUGUGGUGCCGACACUUUGGUGUCAUUGGAGACUUUCCUUUUCCAGAGCUUCAUUCCGCAGAGAUAGAGUGAGAGAGACAACGGUUAGGAUUGAGGUGGAGAGUUAUUGAGAAAGUUAACCCGAAAGAGAGAGUGUGAGUGUUAAAGAGUGAGAGUAUGUGAGAGAGAGAGGAACCUGAGCUCUGGUGUGAGGUUCCCAAUGUUAAUCCAAGUCUCUGCCAACAAUGAGUCUGUCCUUUCUCACUGUCUCUCUGAUCUCCAUCCUCUGGCCCUGUCUGUCACUGGGAGCUUUGGUGACUCAGAGGCCGCGGACAGUCACAGCCAGAGAGGGGGAGACAGUGAGUUUGAAAUGUAGCCACAACGACAAAUCCCUUGAUAUGAUGCUCUGGUACAUCCAACGCCAUCAGGGAGGCCUCACAUUGAUCGGAUAUGCCUUUAUGUCAAACCCAACGUAUGAGAAAGGCUUUGAAUCUGGUUACAACAUUACACAGAGUAAUGACAAGAAGAAAUCAUCCCUGGAGAUCUCCAACAUGAACCCAACCCAGGAGGGGGUGUAUUACUGCGCUGCGAGAGAAGGGCACAGCGUGAGAGAGAGACAGAUCUCUCGUACAUAAACCUCACACAGGAUAC